rnacentral:tRNA from 1 species
GCGGAUGUGGUGGAAUUGGUAGACACGCUGUCUUGAGGGGGCAGUGGCGUAAGCCGUGCCGGUUCGAGUCCGGCCAUCCGCACCA